ACAAAAGAAAGAGGGUGUGCUGUUACCCCACUGACUACCUGGGCUGAUGUGCUGGACAUGGCUGGCUAGGAGGGUGUCCCCUUGUUCCUCACCAUUGCAUGUGGAUCUCUCCUGAAGCCUGGUCAAAAAGAACAACCUUUCCCCAGAGAGGACUACUCUUUCAUCACAUACACAAGUGCAUCCUUGCAGUCGGCUCCACACCACUGGGAUGGACCUCCAAACCAGACACAGUUUAUGGGAGGAAGGGAUUUAUUUGAAGCUUAUAGAUCCAGGGGACGUUCUACUGAUGGCAGAAGAAGCUGUCACCCCCU
rnacentral:sRNA from 1 species